GAAUAAGCACCGGCUAACUCCGUGCCAGCAGCCGCGGUAAUACGGAGGGUGCAAGCGUUAUCCGGAUUNACUGGGUUUAAAGGGUGUGUAGGCGGGUAUUUAAGUCAGUGGUGAAAUCUCCGAGCUCAACUCGGAAACUGCCAUUGAUACUAUUUAUCUUGAAUAUUGUUGAGGUAAGCGGAAUAUGUCAUGUAGCGGUGAAAUGCAUAGAUAUGACUUAGAACACCCAUUGCGAAGGCAGCUUACUA
rnacentral:rRNA from 1 species